rnacentral:rRNA from 1 species
AUUCCAGCUCCGCAGGUGUAUAUCUAUGCUGCUGCGGUUAAAAAGCUCGUAGUUGGAUCUGCGUGCUCGGAACUGGUUGGCUCACUGAGUUCAAACUGGUCUCCGGCGCUUUAUUGGCUGGUUUUCCCUUGAUGCUCUUAACCGGGUGUCUUGGGUGGCUAGCACGUUUACUUUGAAAAAAUUAGAGUGCUCAAUACAGGCGUAAAGCCUUGAAUAGUGGUGCAUGGAAUAAUAGAAUAGGACCUCGGCUCUAUUUUGUUGGUUUUCGGAACGCGAGGUAAUGAUUAAGAGGGACAGACGGGGGCAUUCGUAUUGCGACGUUAGAGGUGAAAUUCUUGGAUCGUCGCAAGACGGACGACUGCGAAAGCAUUCGCCAAGAAUGUUUUCAUUAAUCAAGAACGAAAGUUAGAGGUUCGAAGGCGAUCAGAUACCGCCCUAGUUCUAACCGUAAACGAUGCCAACUAGCGAUUCGCAGGCGUUAAACAACGACCUUGCGGGCAGCUUCCCGGAAACGAAAGUGUCCGGGUUCCGGGGGAAGUAUGGUUGCAAAGCUGAAACUUAAAGGAAUUGACGGAAGGGCACCACCAGGAGUGGAGCCUGCGGCUUAAUUUGACCCAACACGGGAAAACUCACCCGGCCCGGACACCGUAAGGAUUGACAGAUUGAGAGCUCUUUCUUGAUUCGGUGGGUGGUGGUGCAUGGCCGUUCUUAGUUGGUGGAGCGAUUUGUCUGGUUUAUUCCGAUAACGAACGAGACUCUGGCCUACUAAAUAGUGGGCGGAUUCUUUCUGUCCGCAACACUUCUUAGAGGGACAAGCGGUGUUCAGCCGCACGAGAUUGAGCAAUAACAGGUCUGUGAUGCCCUUAGAUGUCCGGGGCUGCACGCGCGCUACACUGAAGGAAUCAGCGUGCUUUCUGACCUUGCCCGAAAGGGCUGGGUAACCCGAUGAAAAUCCUUCGUGAUUGGGAUAGGGACUUGCAAUUAUUUCCCUUGAACGAGGAAUUCCCAGUAAGUGUGGGUCAUAAGCUCGCGUUGAUUACGUCCCUGCCCUUUGUACACACCGCCCGUCGCUGCCCGGAACUGAGCCGUUUCGAGAAGAACAGGGACCGUCGUUGAAGGGCCUUAACGGGCUUUUCUCUGAUAGAAACUGUU